CUGCGCUGCUAUGUGUGACCAUGACUACCUCAGAUCUGUUUAGGCUUAUUAAUAAACACUGGAUUUGGAGAAAGAGAACCAGCAGCAGGCUAUUUUAACCUGACGGCUGUAAAGAAUGAUCAGGCUCCUGCUGGAUUCUGUCUGGUAACCAAACCUGGAACUGAUUGCUGACACCGACCUGGAUUCCCCUUAGGAGCCUUUUUGUAUCUCUGAUCUCCUGGUCCUGACUCCUGAGCAUGUUCUCAACACCGGCUUUUGCUUCGUCCUCUGGAUUAUGCUGCUGUCCUUCCUCUGUUCGGUUCUGAUCUCCUGCCUGUCCUCCAACCUCCAGGACUCAAGCGUCUCGGACUCUCUGUGAAUGGCUAGCUGCGUCUCGUUGGCAGCCAACCAGCUGGAACUAACCUUGUCCUUUGGGCACAGACUGAAAUAUAAGACCAGAGGUUCCUGCCUUAGACACCAACACUGUUCUCUACAGUUCUGUCUUAAAUAAACAUCUUGUGAAACCCAACAGCCCCUUCACCUUCAAAGCUGGGUCCUUUUGUUCUGAGCCUUACAUUUAUAUAAAUCAGUGAAUAUGCCAAUAGAAUUCAUUGAUAUACAUUAAGUGUUUUGUGAGAAACAAAUUAUGCAUAAGUACACUAAAGUAAAUCUUCAGGUGGUUUGAAUGUUUUUUAAGGUUACUGAAACAGAUUGCCAAACUGCUAUUUGUGAUGACUGUGCAGGACCGGAGGGAGAGUUUACAAGCAGGUUUAGAAAAAACAAAUAUUGGUAUUGGCUUGUUGAACUGUAAAAUAUUAGCUUAUCAGAUAUCAGUCAAAAUUGUAACGGUUUUGGUUCUGUUUAAGUUUUCCAUUUAACUUUGGUCCAUGUUUCUCUUUGUUUUCUAGUUUUAUUGGUUUAAU